GACGAACGCUGGCGGCGUGCCUAAUACAUGCAAGUCGAACGCAGUGGGGACGGGUGAGUAACACGUGGGUAACCUCCCAUCAGAGGGGAUAACACUUGGAAAAAGGUGCUAAACCGAUAAUGUUGGAUGGACCCGCGGUGCAUUAGCUAGGUGGGGAGGUAACGGCUAACAAAGGCCACGAUGCAUAGCCGACCUGAGAGGGGGUGCGGCCACACUGGGACUGAGACACGGCCCAGACGCCUACGUGAGGCAGCAGUAGGGAAUCUUCGGCAAUGGACGAAAGUCUGACCGAGCAACGCCGCGUGAGUGAAGAAGGUUUUCGGAUCGUAAAACUCUGUUGUUAGAGAAGCGGUAUCUAACCAGAAAGCCACGGCUAACUACGUGCCAGCCGCCGCGGUAAUUC
rnacentral:rRNA from 1 species